rnacentral:lncRNA from 1 species
GACUGUAAAUAUGCAUGCAUGCUUUUCAUUAACUUUACCCAAUCUUUUGGUUAACCCUCUGGUUAACAGCUAGACAAGUACGUUAGUCCCGGGGCAAGUACGUUAGCCCAUAAAUUUACCCAAUUCACUGGUUAACCCUUUGGUUAACAAUAACUCACCAACGAAAUCCCUCACGGGCCCUAAGCUGCCUCCCGAUGGGACCGUCUGUCGGACAAGUACGUUAGUCCUGGGGCAAGUACGUUAGCCCAAAAAGUGACCACUCCGGAGUGCACUGCUUCGGUGGAGCGACCACCACCAAGCUCAAAACAGACUAUGUGAGUAUGAUCUGAUCCUCCUUUAGAGGAUUCAACUGACAACAAUGUCACAAUUUAACUCUAACUAGUUCUCUAUACUAGUUGCAAUUUCAUUUCUCGAUGCUAACCAAAUCUCUAGUUAGAAUGUCACCAAGUUCACUAUUGUUAUAGUCCAUACAUUCAUAGGGUCCUAUGUCCACAUUCUAAAGUUCACAAGUUCUCAUUAUUGAUAAGCAUUCAUAUAUUCAAAUAUCACUACCCUAUGAUGCAUGAAUACAAGUAAUAUGCUCAAGAAGGCA